rnacentral:lncRNA from 1 species
CUGAAUGAGGUUUAUAAUCUCAUCUAUUGUCUUAAUUGCAUUCGACGCGACCAAAAUUCGACGUAUACAAAACGGGGCUUAAAGUCUUUAUGAGUUUUUGGAAUGAAUUUAGGAGUAUGAAUUAACUACAAUUACAACGGAUUAACUUUUUAAAACGUUUUUUUUUAUAAAACGUUUUUAACGAGAACUCGUAUAUUACUUUUUCUGAUUUAACAUUAAAGUUUGAUGUUAUUAAUAUUAAGUUUGUUCGUUCACUGCAACCAGGUAUAUCAAUCAUGUUUCGCUCGCUACUCUGGUUUAAAUAAAUGAUUACAAAGCCCAGUCGAAUUGUAAUCAAGACCCAACGUUUCGACACUCCAGUGUAGUGUCUUCAUCAGGGGUGAUCUAAAACUAAGAAGCCACGAUUGCAGUUUUAGAUCACCCCUGAUGAAGACACUAGACUGGAGUGUCGAAACGUUGGGUCUUGAUUACAAUUCGACUGGGCUUUGUAAUCAUUUAUUUAAACCAGAGUAGCGAGC